rnacentral:lncRNA from 1 species
UCGUACAACCGUGACCAAGAGGGCAAGCAUCUGCUCUCAUGUGGCUGCCUCUCCUGCCUUUGUGCCAUUCCUGUUAAAUGAACUCGUGUGUGCCAUGGUGCCCGGCUCAUACCUGGAGAGAGUAGUUGCUACACAUGGUACCUAUUGUGCUCACUGCUUCUCCUGGCUCUAGGUCCCACAUCAACUCAUCCUUCAUCACAUUGUCACUUCUCAUGUGUGCUGUUUGCCCACACACCUUUCACACACACACAUCGAUUUAUGAUGUACACACGCAUGCUGAGCUAUGAUGCCUGCAUGCACACAUGUGCACACACACACACCAGGCUACGAAGCACACAGACACACGGGGCUACAAGGCACAUACACACACAUAGGGCUAUGCUAUACACACACGCACCGAGCUAGGAUGCACACGUACAUGCCAGGCUACGGUGCACACACACACACACACACACACACACACACCGAGCUAGGAUGCACACGUACAUGCCAGGCUAUGGUGCACGCACACACACACACACACACACACCGAGCUAGGAUGCCCAUGCACACACUGCGCUAC